UACGGAGGAUGCAAGCGUUAUCCGGAAUGAUUGGGCGUAAAGAGUCCGUAGGUGGUUAUUCAAGUCGAUUGUUAAAGAGCGGGGCUUAACCCCGUAGAAGCAGUGGAAACUGAAUAACUAGAGAGAGGUAGGGGUAGAGGGAAUUCCCGGUGUAGCGGUGAAAUGCGUAGAGAUCGGGAAGAACACCAGUGGCGAAAGCGCUCUACUGGACCUCAUCUGACACUGAGGGACGAAAGCUAGGGGAGCGAAAGGG
rnacentral:rRNA from 1 species